rnacentral:rRNA from 1 species
AUUGAACGCUGGCGGCAUGCCUUACACAUGCAAGUCGAACGGUAACAGGUCUUCGGAUGCUGACGAGUGGCGAACGGGUGAGUAAUACAUCGGAACGUGCCUAGUAGUGGGGGAUAACUACUCGAAAGAGUGGCUAAUACCGCAUGAGAUCUACGGAUGAAAGCAGGGGAUCGCAAGACCUUGUGCUACUAGAGCGGCCGAUGGCAGAUUAGGUAGUUGGUGGGAUAAAAGCUUACCAAGCCGACGAUCUGUAGCUGGUCUGAGAGGACGAUCAGCCACACUGGGACUGAAACACGGCCCAGACUCCAACGGGAGGCAGCAGUGGGGAAUUUUGGACAAUGGGCGAAAGCCUGAUCCAGCAAUGCCGCGUGCAGGAUGAAGGCCUUCGGGUUGUAAACUGCUUUUGUACGGAACGAAAAGCCCUGGGUUAAUACCCUGGGGUCAUGACGGUACCGUAAGAAUAAGCACCGGCUAACUACGUGCCAGCCGCCGCAGUAA